UAGGGAAUCUUCGGCAAUGGACGGAAGUCUGACCGAGCAACGCCGCGUGAGUGAAGAAGGUUUUCGGAUCGUAAAGCUCUGUUGUAAGAGAAGAACGAGUGUGAGAGUGGAAAGUUCACACUGUGACGGUAUCUUACCAGAAAGGGACGGCUAACUACGUGCCAGCAGCCGCGGUAAUACGUAGGUCCCGAGCGUUGUCCGGAUUUAUUGGGCGUAAAGCGAGCGCAGGCGGUUAGAUAAGUCUGAAGUUGAAGGCUGUGGCUUAACCAUAGUACGCUUUGGAAACUGUUUAACUUGAGUGCAAGAGGGGAGAGUGGAAUUCCAUGUGUAGCGGUGAAAUGCGUAGAUAUAUGGAGGAACACCGGUGGCGAAAGCGGCUCUCUGGCUUGUAACUGACGCUGAGGCUCGAAAGCGUGGGGAGCAAACAGGAUUAGAUACCCUGGUAGUCCACGCCGUAAACGAUGAGUGCUAGGUGUUAGACCCUUUCCGGGGUUUAGUGCCGCAGCUAACGCAUUAAGCACUCCGCCUGGGGAGUACGACCGCAAGGUUG
rnacentral:rRNA from 1 species